rnacentral:rRNA from 1 species
AGCGAACGCUGGCGGCAGGCCUAAUACAUGCAAGUCGAGCGGCCCUUCGGGGCAGCGGCGGACGGGUGAGUAACGCGUGGGAAUAUGCCCUUUGGUACGGAACAACUGAGGGAAACUUCAGCUAAUACCGUAUGUGCCCUUCGGGGAAAGAUUUAUCGCCAUUGGAGUAGCCCGCGUUGGAUUAGGUAGUUGGUGAGGUAAAGGCUCACCAAGCCGACGAUCCAUAGCUGGUCUGAGAGGAUGAUCAGCCACACUGGGACUGAGACACGGCCCAGACUCCUACGGGAGGCAGCAGUAGGGAAUCUUGCGCAAUGGGCGAAAGCCUGACGCAGCCAUGCCGCGUGAAUGAUGAAGGUCUUAGGAUUGUAAAAUUCUUUCACCGGGGAAGAUAAUGACGGUACCCGGAGAAGAAGCCCCGGCUAACUUCGUGCCAGCAGCCGCGGUAAU